CUUCGGGCUUAGUGGCGGACGGGUUAGUAACGCGUGGGAACGUGCCCUUCACUACGGAAUAGUCCCGGGAAACUGGGUUUAAUGCCGUAUACGCCCUUCGGGGGAAAGAAUUUCGGUGAGGGAUCGGCCCGCGUUAGAUUAGAUAGUUGGUGGGGUAAUGGCCUACCAAGUCUACGAUCUAUAGCUGGUUUUAGAGGAUGAUCAGCAACACUGGGACUGAGACACGGCCCAGACUCCUACGGGAGGCAGCAGUGGGGAAUCUUGGACAAUGGGCGCAAGCCUGAUCCAGCCAUGCCGCGUGAGUGAUGAAGGCCUUAGGGUCGUAAAGCUCUUUCGCCUGUGAAGAUAAUGACUGUAGCAGGUAAAGAAACCCCGGCUAACUCCGUGCCAGCAGCCGCGGUAAUACGGAGGGGGUUAGCGUUGUUCGGAAUUACUGGGCGUAAAGCGCGCGUAGGCUGACUAUUAAGUCAGGGGUGAAAUCCCGGGGCUCAACCCCGGAACGGCCCUUGAUACUGGUAGUCUUGAGUUCGAGAGA
rnacentral:rRNA from 1 species